rnacentral:rRNA from 1 species
GACGAACGCUGGCGGCGUGCUUAACACAUGCAAGUCGAACGGAAAGGCCCUGCUUUUGUGGGGUGCUCGAGUGGCGAACGGGUGAGUAACACGUGAGUAACCUGCCCUUGACUUUGGGAUAACUUCAGGAAACUGGGGCUAAUACCGGAUAGGAGCUCCUGCUGCAUGGUGGGGGUUGGAAAGUUUCGGCGGUUGGGGAUGGACUGGCGGCUUAUCAGCUUGUUGGUGGGGUAGUGGCUUACCAAGGCAUUGACGGGUAGCCGGCAUGAGAGGGUGACCGGCCACAUUGGGACUACGAUACGGCCCAGAGUGCUACGGGAGGCAGCAGGGGGGAAUAUUGCACAAUGGGCGGAAGCCUGAUGCGGAAACGCCGCGUGCGGGAUGACGGCCUUCGGGUUGUAAACCGCUUUCGCCUGUGACGAAGCGUGAGUGACGGUAAUGGGUAAAGAAGCACCGGCUAACUACGUG